rnacentral:piRNA from 1 species
UCGAAGCCUCACUUUGUGGUGUUCUGUUG